GCAUGCCUACAGCAUAGAGUUAAUGCACUAGAUCCCAUUAGAACUUCGUAGUUAAGUGUGCUUAGGCUAGAGAAGUACUGGCAUGGGUGACCACCUGGAAAGUCCUAGUUUUUUACGUGCC
rnacentral:rRNA from 1 species